UUACAUCGGGGGUCUGCUAAUUGUCACACCCUUUGCACAAUGGGUGAAGCUGUAGUCUGCUGAUUGGUCAGGUUGAAUGUCUCACAUUUGGGUUUCAGUCACAUGGUCAAGGAAGGGAUAAAAGAAGACUGUGAAUGUUGCUCUAGGCUUUUUCUCUCUUCUGGCUUUUCUUUGCUGAAUCUUUCCUUUACUGGAGCUCUCUCCCUCUAUUUCUCCCACUCUCUAUCUCCCCAUCUCACUUUCCUUCUCAGUCCUUUUAGAAAUCCUACAGCCUGAACCUCUGUAGGCAAACCUUACAGUUGCAUGUGAGGCCAUUAUGACGCAAAUCGAUGAUGGCUGCAUGUGUUUCUUUGGAGUACGUCCUGACUGUAGUUCCGGAUCCCGGCUUGGUUUCGUCCAAACCACAGGAUCUAAUCAACCAUUCAAACAUUUCUACAGAUGAAUUUUAAAACUACAGAGCAAUACACACCACAUGCAGUCAGGGACUAAUGUAUAGUCUGGACCUCCAUUGGGAAGGAAAUACAGGGACCUCUGCUUGUGCCUUAAUAAACCCUGUUCUCCUGUUAUUCCAGUCUCCUGUCCCAGAAUUCAAAAAUGUUCUUUAAAUAUAUUUUACAAAAGCAUUUACAAAAGUUCCGAGAUAAAGUGUUCUUGCAUCACUAUUCAGAGUUUUGGACCAUUGUUUUGUGUUUUUGUUUUAAUGUUCUAAAAUAAAUGGAAGGACAA